ACGUAGGGUGCAAGCGUUGUCCGGAAUUAUUGGGCGUAAAGAGCUCGUAGGCGGUCUGUCGCGUCGGCUGUGAAAUCCCGAGGCUCAACCUCGGGUCUGCAGUCGAUACGGGCAAACUGGAGUGUUGCAGGGGAGACUGGAAUUCCUGGUGUAGCGGUGAAAUGCGCAGAUAUCAGGAGGAACACCGGUGGCGAAGGCGGGUCUCUGGGCAACAACUGACGCUGAGGAGCGAAAGCCAGGGGAGCAAACGGGA
rnacentral:rRNA from 1 species